rnacentral:snRNA from 1 species
AUCACUUCUAGACCUUUUGGCUAACAUCAAAUGUAGUAUCUGUUCUUAUCAGUUUAAAUAAUAUGAAUCAAUAAUAUUUGAGCUAUAUAUUAUAGCCAAA